rnacentral:rRNA from 1 species
CCUACGGGAGGCAGCAGUGGGGAAUAUUGCACAAUGGGGGAAACCCUGAUGCAGCGACGCCGCGUGAGUGAAGAAGUAUUUCGGUAUGUAAAGCUCUAUCAGCAGGAACGAGACAAGACGGUACCUGACUAAGAAGCCCCGGCUAACUACGUGCCAGCAGCCGCGGUAAUACGUAGGGGGCAAGCGUUAUCCGGAAUCACUGGGUGUAAAGGGAGCGUAGACGGCUGUGCAAGCCUGAAGUGAAAGGCGGGGCCCAACCCCUGGACUGCUUUGGGAACUGUACGGCUGGAGUGCAGGAGAGGUAAGUGGAAUUCCUAGUGUAGCGGUGAAAUGCGUAGAUAUUAGGAGGAACACCAGUGGCGAAGGCGGCUUACUGGACUGUAACUGACGUUGAGGCUCGAAAGCGUGGGGAGCAAACAGGAUUAGAUACCCCAGUAGUC